AACGUAGGACACAAGCGUUAUCCGGAAUUACUGGGCGUAAAGGGCGUGCAGGCGGUUGCGUAAGUUAGGCGUGAAAGACUUCGGCUAAACCGGGGGAGGUCGUCUGAUACUGCGUAACUAGAGGAUGGUAGAGGCGUGUAGAAUUCCGGGUGUAGUGGUGAAAUGCGUAGAGAUCCGGAGGAAUACCAGUGGCGAAGGCGGCACGCUGGGCCAUUACUGACGCUAAGACGCGAAAGCAUGGGUAGCGAAC
rnacentral:rRNA from 1 species